UAGUGACAAGAGCAUAGGCGUGGGAGCCGGAGGACCCGGGUUCUAAUUCCGGCUCCACGGGUUCUCUGCUCUGUGAAUUUGGG